AUUGAACGCUGGCGGCAGGCCUAACACAUGCAAGUCGAACGGUAACAGGAAGAAGCUUGCUUCUUUGCUGACGAGUGGCGGACGGGUGAGUAAUGUCUGGGAAACUGCUUGAUGGCGGGGGAUAACUACUGGAAACGGUAGCUAAUACCGCAUAACGUCGCAAGACCAAAGAGGGGGACCUUCAGGCCUCUUGCCAUCGGCUGUGCCCAGAUGGGAUUAGCUAGUAGGUGGGGUAACGGCUCACCUAGGCGACGAUCCCUAGCUGGUCUGAGAGGAUGACCAGCCACACUGGAACUGAGACACGGUCCAGACUCCUACGGGAGGCAGCAGUGGGGAAUAUUGCACAAUGGGCGCAAGCCUGAUGCAGCCAUGCCGCGUGUAUGAAGAAGGCCUUCGGGUUGUAAAGUACUUUCAGCGGGGAGGAAGGGAGUAAAGUUAAUACCUGUGCUCAUUGACGUUACCCGCAGAAGAAGCACCGGCUAACUCCGUG
rnacentral:rRNA from 1 species